rnacentral:rRNA from 1 species
UACGUAGGGUGCGAGCAUUAAUCGGAAUUACUGGGCGUAAAGCGUGCGCAGGCGGUUUUGUAAGCCAGAUGUGAAAGCCCCGGGCUCAACCUGGGAAUGGCAUUUGGGACUGCAAGGCUUGAGUGCGGCAGAGGAGACUGGAAUUCCUGGUGUAGCAGUGAAAUGCGUAGAUAUGCGGAGGAACACCGAUGGCGAAGGCAGUCCCCUGGGCCUGUACUGACGCUCAUGCACGAAAGCGUGGGGAGCAAACAGG